UAUGCAGAUAAACACCAUGAGGUCAAAAGAGUGUAUGGACUCACUCGACAUACUAUAAAACCAAACUAAUGCAGAUCCUUCAAACCUGAGGAAAAGCCUUACAUAGAGCCAUCAUUCCCCUUGCAAGAGAGUCAUCGCAUGCUGAAAACGCAUUAAAUGAUAGACGAGAUCCGCCCCCCAUCCAUCCCAUUGUAAGUUUGAAACUUGGGAAAAGCGAAUCAAGAUGGAACUUGGAUUCGACUUGGAGUAUGUGCGACGUGAAGGGAGUAUUGAGUAGUCAUUGAACAACGUGAUUAACCAUCUAAUGCAUAGGUCUCCCUUUCAUUAAAUCGACUCGUGCCUUCAACUCAUCGAUUUGUACAAUGUGCGUUGUCCUGUUCCGGACUUUUAUCUUCCUUGAUGAAUGAGGUUGAAUUUGCUUGUUGGGUGUGGUAGAAUUGUAGUUGGGGGUAAUCAAGAUGAGUGAUUAAGUGAAAUCUUAUUAAGAACGUGAAGAAUAAGUUGGUAAUCUUAUUAUUUAAUUCAUUAAGCUGCUGAUUAGAUUUUGGGGUGGCAGGAUUGACUUGCCUAUAUUACGGCCAAUCAACCUGGAUAUUAAGUGGGAGAAAAUUGUAUGAAUUUGAUUUUGGAUGUAUCCUAAAUCCGCAAACUGCCAGAGCACCUACGUCAGCUAAUUGGAAGCUUACUUCUCCCCAACGUUCCCGUGCUGGGCCAGUGUGGGAGCCACGCCCGUGAGAAACCAAGAAAAAGGUAUGCAAAGCAAAAGCACCCGAAUAUGCUUUGCUCUCCCCUGCAAAUAUCCCUUCUCUCUUUCCUACUCCCAUGAUCAUCAUCCUCAUCAUUUCUCUAUAAUACUACACCUAUUUCACACACACUCUCUCUCGUUAUCUGAUUUUGGGAACUAUGGAGCUUGUUCAGGAGCUCUUGUUCACAGUUUCUCUUGCUCUCCUCUUCUCUUUUCUUGUGGCCAAACUCGUCUCCCUGGCCAUGGCUGCUGACUUGAAGAGCGCCCAGAAUGUGGAUGAUCACAUCGUUGCCAAUGAGGUUAGGUUUGUAGAAACCGAGACUAGGGUGGAAUCUGUUGAUGGAGGAUCGGGUCUGGUUGAGGAAACUUGUGAAAUUACGCGUGGCGGUGAAGUGCCGGUUUUGCCUUCAGAGGAGGAAGUGUCGGAGAUUGUUGAAUUGCCGGAAAAUUCACCGAGGGAAAGGUCGGGGCAUGAGAUUUUAGUGAGUCGUGAUGUUGCUGUCGUUCAGGAACGUGACGAGAGGGAGUUGGAGAGUGAGGAAGAUGAUUGGGAGGGGGUUGAGAGGAGUGAGUUGGAGAGGGUUUUUGCAGCGGCUGCCAACUUUGUUGGUUCUGGGAACAAGGGUGAUGGGUGGUCAAGUGAUGCGCAGAUGGAAUUGUAUGGACUUCAUAAGAUCGCAGUUGAGGGGCCUUGCCAUGAGCCUCAGCCUAUGCCGCUCAAGAUCUCUGCCCGUGCCAAGUGGAAUGCUUGGCAAAGGAUGGGGAACAUGAGUAGGGAGGUGGCCAUGGAGCAGUAUAUUGCUCUUCUUUCAGAUAGAGUUCCUGGGUGGAUGGAAGCCAGUUCUGCUGGAGAUGACAAACCAGAGUCCUCAGAAGGCGGAAUACAUGAUAUACUGGAUCCUAAUCAAAGCUCAUUGCUGCAUGAUCAAAUAAGUUCAACAAAUGAAACGAAACCAGAACUGAAGUCUGGUACUUUGGGAAUUGAUUUGACUGAGGGUUCAAACUCUGUGAGCACGGAGAAAGAAUGACAAACAUUACCUUGUACUCUAUCUCCACCAUCACAAGGGGGAUUCUACUUUGUCACUGGAGCAGAAUAAGGACUAAUUCCUAUUACCAAGUAUAGUUGAAAUUGUGGUGAUGGUGAGCAGGAUGGUAGUGCUCUGCUAGCACAUUGAAGGGUUUUGGUUGGAUUGAUGUUUCUUUUGUUGUUUGUUCAAGAAAAGCGAUAUGAUUGGAUUUCUUUGCAACUAAAAUGGAGAUAUAGUAGCAUCUUGCUUUUAGUAGAGCUGGAAGUGAAUCAGGUUCAUUACUCAAACAAUCUGAAAUCUGAAUCUUGUUAAAAUGCGAAACUACUGUUUUCCUUAUUAUCAAGUUGUGCUAUAUAUAUGUAUGUUAAGCUUGUUAUCUUUGUUGCUCUGAUGGUUUAACAUUUCUUGGCCCAAGCCAUCUGAUUGGCUGCCUGAUGGAGAUUAAACCUUGAGUGUAGAGAGAGAGAGAGAGAGAGAGAGAGAGAGAGAGAGAGUUCUGUGACAUCAUGUGUAAAGAGGAGUUGAGUUGGAGCAGUCGCCCAACAGUAUAGUUUGGGUUUUGAACCAAAGAUUAAAAAAUAAAAUUGUAUUAGAAUUGGGUUUGCCUCUUGGCUGGUAAUGGUCAAUGUAUGGUGGUUAAAGGGCUUUCUAAGUUCCCUUUUUCCUUUUUACCUCUCAAAA